rnacentral:lncRNA from 1 species
AAGCCUCACAAAGGCCACCACCACCCCAAACAUUCCCCAGCCCCUUCACCAACUAAGCCUCCCACUUAUAGCCCAUCGAAACCACCAGUUAAACCACCGGUUAAACCACCAACUAAGGCUCCCACUUAUAGCCCAUCAAAACCACCAGCUAAGCCACCAGUUAAACCACCAACACCAACACCAUCACCUUAUCCUGCUCCUGCUCCUAUUACUAGGAAACCUGUAGCAGUCCGUGGCCUUGUUUACUGCAAGCCGUGCAAGUUUAGAGGGGUUAAAACUCUAAACCAAGCUUCCCCACUCCUGGGUAAUUUGUUUAAUAUCCUUCUUUUUUAUAAAUCAUUACUCCCUCCGUUCCAGUUUACGUGAACCUAUUUCCUUUUUGGUCCGUUCCAAAAAGAAUGACCCAUUUCUAAAUUUGGAAAUAAUUUAGCUUAAACUUACAAUUCUACCCUUAAUGAGAAGCUUUUAUAACCACACAAAUACUCUAGGUCCCCUUUUAACUUGUUUAGGACCACAAAUUCCAAAAGUCUUCAUUUUUUCUUAAACUCCGUGCCCAGUCAAACAGGUUCACAUAAAUUGGAACGGAGGGAGUAUUUUUUUUUAGUUAACAUUUUAAGCAAUCAACAUUAACAUAUAAUCUGAGUGACUCAUAUCAGUAUUACUUAUGUCAUUUUACUUGGCGAGAUAUACUAUAGGUAAGGUUAAUAAACCCAUUCCGAUAGAAAAGGGCAUUUUACCAAAAAGAGUCAAAUUUUCGUUUUCAAAACUCUAGUACCACAUCAAACUUUAAGUUAAUACAUAUGUUUCUAACGAUUUCUUAGUAUUUUGAGCUGAAAUUUUUUACUCUUUUUAUUUGGCAGCAUUGAUGUUGCUAUGGCUAUUAAUAUAGAUUGUUAUACAUAUCUUAUGUGCAUGCACACUGAACAGUAGUUAUUUACCCUCGAAAUUAUAAAUUUGAAUAUAUACCAUGACAUAUUGACACUGUAAAUAAUUUCUAUUCACCAUCAAUCUAUUGUAGUAGGUUUCACCCUUAUUCUUCAAGUAGCUAAUUACACUCAUAAUUAUAGGUGGUUAUCUAUAGUUAUCUUUUAGGUGACAUGAUACCGUAGCACUUUCGUUUAGUUAUAACAUUCCGAAAAC